rnacentral:lncRNA from 1 species
UAAUCAAUCUUUCAAUUUAUUUGAUUUGAGUCGGUCAACGACACUCUGACUUCAAAUUUUGAAUGCAUCGUUCAUAUUUACAAGUUUAAUUAGUAUAUAUUUCGUACAAUUCUCGCAACUAUAAAUUCAUUAAAGUAAACAAUUAACUUAAAUUUUGAAGUCAAAAUACCGUUGACUAACUCAAAUCAGAUAAAUUGAAAGGUUGAGUAGUAAAAUCAAAAUUUUAAAAGAUUGGAUAGUCGAUUCAAAAUUGUACAUAGUUAAAGUAAGUUCCAUAGGUUGUUGCAGGCAAUUUAUCACAAAUGACUGUCAAGCAAUUUAUCACAAAUGACUGUCGCUGUAAGCAGAAGCAGAUAGCUUAGCAAAUCAAGUAAGAGGCCAAACAGGCCCUAAAAUCAAAAAACAUCAGAGCAGGUAAGGAAUAAGAGAGAAAAGAAGACCUGAUCUGCACGGGAAGGGAUGAGCCGCCCACAAGCGGCUCGUACCGGUUCAGCAUGGGCCGGUUAGGGCUGAGGACCCGCGAACCGGGCGACGACGAGAACACGUCCCGAUCGAACCUCUUCGGCGUGGAGCAACCCGACGACUCGCUCCCGGGGAAGAUGUCGCUGAAGAAAUCCUCCCCCAGAUGCCGCCUCCUCGCGAGGCUACUCACAUCCCCGAACACGGGCUUCUCCCCCGCACCCUCCGAUCCCCGGAACCCUAACCCUAAACCUAACCCUAGCCGCUCCUCCUCCUCCUCCUCCUCCUCCCCGCCCUCCGCCACGACGCCCCGAACCCUAACCCUCGCCCACGAAUCCAGCGAGUCCGCGCGGCUCCGGAGAGCUUCGCCAUGGCGGGAUCGGAGGCUGGAUUCGGAGGGGAAGGCGGAGGAUUAGGGCAUCGGAGGGGCCGAAUUCGUCGAACUGGGAGGGGGACGGGGGAUUAGGGGGAAGGGGAAGAGGACAGGGGAGUUUGGGGGAUGGGACCGGGGGAGAGUAGGGUUGUGGAUGGAGCGAAAGCGACGGGCCCAAAAAUUUUCCGUGAAACGAGUGCGCCACGUCAGCUAUGAACUGGAACAGCAUGUUUAAUUCGGGUUGCAAUCCCCCGGAUCCGGAAUUUGAUUUACGCCUGUACUUUCAGAAAACGACUAAUGCAUUUUGAUUCUUGAUUUUUUUUUUUUUUUUUGGGAGAAAAGUAUGUGCUAUUUUUUAAAAAAAUAAAUAAAUAAAUUUAGCAAAAAAAAUAUAAACCAGCUAAGUUUUAAAUUUGAAAUUUUGCAUGUCAACUAUUAAGUUCUUCGUCACCGAUUAUUGGACGGUAAAAGCGAUUAGAAGAAGAGGAGGGAGUUAGAGUCUAUUUAUUUUAUUGGAAUUUCUGAGGUGAAUUCUAAGUAUCUUAAGAAAAUGAGAGUUUCUUGUGCUUGGAUCGCAAAUGAACUGGAAAAAACUUGUGAAUGGGGCUCAUCUACUAAGUGCGACUUUCUCUUGAGUAAAAACGAAAUCGAGGUUUUUUAAUUUUAGGGAAGGACUUAAACGCACACUGUAUUUGUCAUUUACAAAACAACCCCUUGGUUGGGGUAGAAGUUUAUGCAGGCAAACUCCGAAAACAAGAAACCAAAGGUAGUUUUUUAUAGAGAAAACUUCAAAAAUUCUCUACGUGGUUUCGCUUUUUUUUUUAUUUUAGUAUCAUGUGGUUUAAAGUGUAUGAAGUUAGUACCUUAUGUUUUCGCACUUUCUCACUUUAAUACUCUAUAGUUUAUAGUGUAUCAAGUUAGUACUCUAUGAUUUUAUUUUUGUAUCAAGUUAAUAUCAUAUGGUUUUAUUUUUGUAUCAAAUUAGUACCUUGUGGUUUUAUUUUUUUCCUAAUAAAAUAUUAAACCACAGGGUACUAAAGUAAAAAAGUGCAAAAUUACAGGGUACUAACUUGAUACACUUUAAACCACAGGAUACUAAAGUGAGAAAAUGCGAAACCACGGGAUACUAACUUAAUACACUUUACACCACAGGGUACUAAAGUGAGAAAGAGCGAAACCACAAGGGGGUAUUCAAAGUUUUCCCUUUUUAUAAUAUGUAGCACACUCUGUCUCGUCAAAAUUAGCAAUUUUGAACUGCUAAACAUUUUUUUUUUCUGAUAAAUCGCUUGCAUAUCUACAAUGGCAUAGUACAUAUAGGGGCUUUUUAGCAUUUAGCUUGUCUCUUUUUUUUUUUGGGAAAACUUCAAAAACCCCCCUUGUGGUUUCAAUUUUUUUCACUUUAAUAUCCUGUGGUUUAAAAUGUAUCAAGUUAGUACCCCGUGGUUUCUCACUUUAUCACUUAAGUACCCUGUGGUUUAAAGUGUAUCAAGUUAGUACCUGUGGUUUUGCACUUUAUCACUUUAGUACCAUGUGGUUUUAAUUUUGUAUCAAGUUAGUACCCUAUAGUUUUUUAAAUCACAAGGUACUAAAGUGAUAAAGUGUGAAACCACAGGGUACUAAAGUGAUAAAGUGCAAAACCACAGGGUACUAGCUUGAUACAUUUUAAACCACAGGGUACUAAAGUGAUAAAGUGAGAAACCACAGGGUACUAACUUGAUACACUUCAAACCACAGGGUACUAAAAUGAAAAAGUGUGAAACCACAGGGGGGGUUUUUGAAGUUUUCCUCUUUUUUUUUUUUUUCAAAUAACUCCUACUUUGUAUUGGUAUGAAUGUCUUACUUCUUACCAUGUAAUAUGUUAAGAAUUUCAAAUUCAACAUGAUAAUUUAUUUAUCGUGUUUAAAUACGAUAAAUAGAUUACCGUGUUCUAUUAGCCUUAACAGCCCAUAAAUUAUCAUAUUAUUUUUGCCUUAACAACAAGUUGACUAAGUUAAAAAGAAUACGGCACGAUAAAUAAUUUACUGUAUUCAAUUUGUCUUUCCAGGAUGACGCCCAUAUGGCAAGAAAAGUGCCAUUCGUGGAAAUGUAAAUUUGCGAAAAUUAUUCCAAAAAAUAUUUUAAGGGCUGGUUAAAUGCAAAAAAGCACACAUAUAGUGUUUCAAUCGACAUUUUCAGAAUAAAUUGAUUCCUAAAUGAAAUUAUUUAUCCUAAAAUAUAAUCACUAUCAAGACUUCACAAUGCAUGCAGCUUAAAAUCGACCCUCAAAUUUAGCUCGAGGCGGCCUUUUUGGUUUGACAUUGACAUAGUGAUAAAUGCAAUGUAACUAGAUAUGACUGCAGCAAUUUAACAUCAUUUUGAAUAUUUAGUUGGGACCGACGUUACCACAAAUUUGUUGCUUCGUUGCUUCUUGUGAAAAGAAGCACCACAAAUAAGACUUUUUAACUCCAAAAUUGGAAGUUUACAUAUGAAUUGAUAGGAAGGAAAAUUAAGCCCGAUUAACCCCUUUAACAAAUUACAUUUUCUGCCUACUGCAUUUUUUUUUUUUAAUUUCCUUGUGUGGAUCAGAUUUACCCUAAUGCAGAAUUGCACUCUUGAGCUGCCGCAAUUUCAACUAUAUUUUAAACCUACGCGUAGGUUGAACCAUAACCGGUAAACCAAAGAAAAACCAUAUGAUUUACUUUUACUAAACAGUUGCGACACCAACCACAUUAAAACGCAGCUACACAACAGCACCUAAACAAUUAGCCCAUUCUAAUACCAAACGCCAAACCCCGUACGGGGUAGAAACUAUUUACUCCCUGAUCAGUUAAUCCCGAAAAUGAACUACGCAAGUAUAUACGAUAUACUUGAAAAAAAAACUAACCUAUUAUCAACAUAACCAAACUCGAUCAACAUCACCAAAAUCUAGGAAUCUCAUCCCCGAAUAAGCACCAUAGUUUAUGUCCUCGCUGCAACUGAAAAAAAAGCAGGAUGAUGCUCUCCCAUUUGUCCCUAACUGAGCAUUCACCAUAAAAAAUCCUUAAGGGGCAUUCUUUCACAUUUCAGGACAAGCUACCCACCACAUUUAUAUAAUUGAUGUCUAACAAUGUUCAGUACUGGUCAGAACACAUAGCAGACAUAUCCCAUACGAAAGCACAGUAAAACACUUCGGCUUUCAGCCGUCAUAAUCUCCCUGCGCAAACUUGCUCUCCGGAUAAAAGACGGCGCUGACUGAGUUCCCACCGAAUUUCCGACCGUGCAGCCCUUGCCUAGCUUUGGUCGAUCCUUCAGUAUCUGCAUACUCCAAAAAUACCUGACAGCAAAAAAAAAAAAAAAAAAAAAAAAAAAGGUAUCCAAAAUUGAGGGGGAUUAAAAAUCAAAAAAAGGGUCAACUUCAACUGGUCAAAUAAUGGAGAGGGAUAAAUUUUUAUAUUUUAAACAUGAGAAGAAAAUAUUUGAUAACUGAAAUUUUUGAGUCACAAAUCCGCAAGCUCACUAAUUUGCAAGGAUAUAGAGGCAAUUUUCCUAAUAAUAAUAUACUGACCUUUCCAACUCCCGGAACUGGCUCACCAUUUGGACUGGGGCGAGGUAUCACGACAUUCACCAAGUUACCUGCAAAUUUAAACAAGCUUUGGCGCUUAGAAAAGAAAUGGAAAGAAAUGAUUACAUGAGGUUACAAGAGUGAAAGAGAUCGCAUCAUCUUCAGUGGGUUAGGCCUGAUUUGGUUAUGGUAUUUUGUCGGAAUACAAAAGGCUGUAAAACAAGCAAAACAAACAAAAAGAAGAUGAUAGAACUUUUAGAUCUCAAACUGUACGAUGGCAAUGCAAUAGACUUUCAGGAAAUACUUAAAACGCAAGGAUUGCCGUUCCAUUAGCACGCAUGCUGGCACAGGGAAAGCUGGCAUAACAGCACGAGGCAUGCCGCCUUGACGGCAUGGAGCGUGUCGCCAUGUUAGCAAGCUUAUCAGCACAAGCGGCACAUGACAGCUGUGCACUGGCACGGCAACCCUCAUUUUAAACGGAAAAAAUGGAAUUUGAAUUCUUACCAUAUUUUCCCCCUUCUCCUCUCAUGUCUUCCACUAUGUCCUCAUAUUCCUCAUCAUCCAUCAAUUCAUCAGCACUAACCACCUGGGUUAAGCAUACUAUUUUCGUAGGAAGGGCCCCUGCCUGGUACACAAGCCUCUGUACAAAAAUAGACUCGUCACUUUAGAUUGCAAGAAGAAAGUCAUCUUGAAAAGAUGGGAAAUCCAAUAUUUUGCAAAAGACAAGUGAUAAAAAAUAUAUAUAUGUAUAUGGUAAAUAUGCAACAAAUAGGAAAGAAAAAAGUAUACAUAGAAAAAAGAAACAAAAUUCCCAAAUGAUUACUCUCUUAGUUCUAGAUGUCCCCUAUAACAAAUAAGCAAUAUAAUAGUUAUCAAAGCAAAAAGUAAAAGCGAAAAAAAAAAAAGGUUGUAGGACUUAAUCAGGUAAAACGACAGUUGGAGUUAUGCAACCAAAUUCCAUAUUGGGUGUAAAAAACAUUUCUAAGUAACCAUCUAAAAUAAGCUGUAUAACAGGAUGAUUGGAAUGAAAUUGAUUCUCAUACCCAAACAGAAAAGUUCUCAUAACUUGAAAAUUGUCAUCGGCAAGAUCCAGUAAUUGCAAUAAUUAACAACUUGGUAAGGACAAUGCCCCAAAAUUUAGUCCCUGAACUCCUUCGCGAAAAAUACUGGCAUAUGAGAAGACAAUUAUAAUAGCGUCCUAAUAUGACAUAUCCCUGCACGAAUUAAGAACUAUACCCUUCCUUUUAAAUACGCAAAUAUACAAAUGAGAAGGCUUCUAAUAAGGAAAUUAUGAAUCAAGUAGACAUAUGACAAAAAAUACACUACAGUAACAACAAGUCGCAUCAUUCCUAAAAGUUCAAACAGUAUGAUGCUCUACUCACUAUUAUCCCAUUGGAACAAAAGGAAGGGCUGAUACAUUUUCCAUCAAUUAAAACAUGGCCGUCAAAACCAGUCUUUAGUUCCUUUUACCCUCAAACUUUCUCAACGUUAAGCAUGACUAAAAGCAAAGCACUGCUUUUUGAAUAACAAUCAGCUUACAAAUCAAUUCAUGCUUUAAAGUUAACCCAAAUAGUAACCAAAAAUCAAAUAUGUCAUCAAAUCAAUGACAAAAAGCUCCACAAAAUAACAUGAUUUCUACUAUCUUGCAGAACUUAUAGACUGAAAUUCAUUCUGAACUUUCAUGUUGACUACAAUCACUUUAAAACUGUACCUGCAAUGCUACUUGCUGCUGUGCCUGCAAUAGUACACUCUCAUGCUCCGGUCUAGGCUGUGCCGCUCCUUGGUUAGCUCGCCUAACCGUUAGGGUUUUAUCUCCCAUUUUUAUGCCAUUAAGAGCAGCACAUGCGAUAUCUGUGACAGAAAGGUCCUGGUACACGCAAAAGGCAUAGCCUUUUGAGUUACCGGUCUCCCUAUCUUUGACAAGAUCAAAUCCACGGAGAGGCCCGAAAGACUCAAGCAACUCCCUCACUUGGGCCUCCGUAAAGUAAUAAGGAAGCCCACCAACAAAGAUUCGGUCCGGGCCUUCUAAACCACCGGCAGAGCCCGGCGUGAGCCCAACUGCACCAAGAUUGAGGUUUGGAUUAGGCUGGCUUGGGCCCAGUGCAGCGGCAAGAGAAGGGUUAUAGUCACUGGGCCUUCGUACCUUCACUUGCGUGCCCUAAGAAAAUAAAUUAAUGAGUUUUUAGGGAUUAGCAGAAGCAUAAUCUUGCAAGCCCUUUACAAUUAGGGGACUCUACACAUGACUCUACAUAUGACCCCACAACUCUUAAAAUCUGAGUAUUUACCUCACGAAAGUGUAGCUUCACAUAAAAAUACCCUCAAAUUGGAAAGCAAGGAAUACCCGUGCCGCCCAAUGUCACCUGUGCCAUACUAUGCCGAGGCCGUGCCAUGCCGGCCUAUGGCACGGGAUCGUGCCGGCUCACGGCAUGGGGUACUGCCGGCACUGUAUCGACAAAAUGGAUUUCUUUUUUUACAUUUUUGGAAUCUUUUUAAGUUCUUUUCAAGGUAAAAACUUUUACAAAAGUUUUUUCAUACUUGAAAAUAUGUAGAUCUUGUAAAUCUACUAUCAUUUGGAGCAAUUAGUAAGUUCCAUUGCAUUAUAAGACCAACUUUUAGAGAGAAAAUGCAAAUAAAAAGAUACUCUCCAAUUUCUUUAUCAUUUUAGAUUUAGCGAUUUUAUUCAUGGUAGUGUUUCCCUAUAAAUUUUUAUCCAAUUAUGACUUUGGUUUUAGUAGCAUACAUAUACUUUCAUAAUAUAUACAAAAUUCCUUUCCUAUAGUUAUUAAGACGAUAAUGACUAUAUUUUUAUCCCUUCUACUUAAUUGUGUUAGAUAAAUAAACCAUUUUUAUAGCCUUUAGAGAUAUGAAAACACUAAAAAAUUAAUUAUUCAUGAAAAUUUAAUUUAAAAAAUCCAUGCCAAAGCGUGCUAAUGCAUGCCACUGGCACGGAGGAUGUGCCAACAUUGGCACGCCCCGUGCUGCUGGGACAGCAGCAGGUGCCAUGCCAAUGGCACGGCAAUCCUUGUUAAGAAGUAAACCAAUUCAUUGGAGAAGUAGGUUCUUAAUAGAACAAUUUUUUUAAAGAGAGUAUUCUCGUACAUGUAAGGUUUUUUGAAGGGCAUGAAAAUAAUUCAGAUUUUAAAUGGCUACUAUGUAUAUACAGGAUUUUACAAGGAUACAUAUGGAAUUAUUUCUACUCUUAAAGACAAUCUAAAUGCACUACAAUAAGAGAAUUUUAAAGCUCACAGACCUCAAAAAUGAUGCCAUCCAAGGCCAUUGCAUUGCUUGCUUCCUCGACAGAUCUCAUCUCCACAAAAGCAAACUUCUUUUCAUGAUUUAUGUAGACAUUAACAACAGCAUCACCUAAAAAAUAUAAAGAUGAGAAAAAGAAUAACUUUUUCCAAAAAAGAAUUUUUUUUAACAGAGAAUGUUCCAAGUGUAGAAGCAGUUAAUCAAACACUAACCUGGACCAGCAGUGUUUCCUCCAAUAGCAGACAUCACCUGGCUAAAAAAUGUUGCAACCGACUGCAGACAAGUUUGACAAAUACAUCAGCUCAAACAAGCAAGUUAAUAUUAGAAAAAAAAAAUAUUCAUCAAAGGACACAGAUGGAAAAGAAAAGGAAAAUAAAAUAAAAAAUUACGAUGAGAAAAGCAAAAGAAAGCAAGAAAAGCUAAUGUAAUGUCAAUCAUGAUUCAAAAAAGUAAAUAGUUUUGAACUUUGACAAAAAAAAAGAAACAACAAAUUCUGGAUCAGAUCAUAUUGACGUGUUCUCAAUUAAAUGUUUAGAACAUUAUCAAAGCUGCCAGCUUUAGGAAAGAAAGUAAAAUGAUAGUGAAGAAAAAGAGAAAUGCGCGUCGGUACCAACCAAAGAACAACAUUGGAAAUAAGUAUACAGAUAUACGGAAAAGAUCACGGAUAGAUGGAUAGGGGCUAUUACGAAAAAUGUGUGACGGUACCAACCAAAGAAUAACAUAGGAAAUAAGUUUACAGAUGUACGGAAAAGGUCAAGGAUAGGCGGAGAGGGAUUACUACGAAAAAAUUGUGUGACAGAUAUCCUAUUGAAGUUAAUGCGCCUUAAAACAUAGAAUAGAGAAAAUGUAAAGGUCUUGACCUAAAUUCAAGUAAAACGCUUUCCUGAAAUAUGUAUUUAACUCAACAACUUAUGACCUCUAAAUUAAAUAUGAGUAUUCAUAUAUACAUAGUCGUUAUGCCAGACAAACUUCCAACAGACCAACAUCAUUAUGCAGCCCAAAAAAAAAACUACAAACUGAAAACAGUUUGCUUCAAGAUGAUCAGCAUCAUUGAGAAGCAAACAUGAACUAAGAAGAGCUCUCCGCAUACCAUCAAUUACACAAUUAAAAAGGCAUCUAUCUGGGAAAACUAAUAUCAAGAAUUAAAGAAGUAAAUAAUUACAAAAGGCAUGUAAAUAGCAAUUAAAAUUAAAAUAAUAAAUGAAAUAUGCAGUACAAACCUGUUCAUUAGCAGUAGGAGGGAGGCCACCAACAUAUACACGUCGAGCAUGUCUAGUUGCCUGGAGUUACCAAAUUUUGGUCACAUGUGCCAUCAAUAGUGAUAAUAUGAAGUAGCUCAUACAUAUAUUACAUUCCAACAAGAUCAUAUAUUUACAUAUAUAUUCCCCAAAAAAAUCUGAACCUUCUUAUUGACCUCUCGAAAGUGCAGUUUCUAACAAAAAUAAUCUUAAUUUAUUGAGUCAGCACGAAAUUCAAUGUGGAAGCAUGUUUUCAACUACAAAAAAAGAUUUGGAGAGAGUCAAUUUUGUAAGUGCAAGGAGAUAUAUAUAUAUGUAUAUAUAUAUGUAUGUAUGUAAGAAAUUAAGUUUAUUAACAGCAAUAUGUGAGUAUUUCACAUACUGCCAGAAAAAUUAUGCAAAUAAAUAAUUUUGCAUGGCAUACAUGCAAAACUUUCUAACUUUUUGAGCAGGCGAUACCUGCUGAGUCAUAGCUUGCACCGGCAUGACAGGUAGAGUAGGAAGCUGUCAUAACAAUUGUAGAGAUUAUAAAUGAUCAGAGAAUCGUAAUGACCAGCACAGAAGUUCAAGAUAAUAUCACAUGACUUAAAGUUUGAACAAACAUGUACCUGCCCAGCUGCCAAAGGGAAAAUGUUUGGAAACACUCCAGGAAGUGCAGCAGUGCCUCCAGUUAGCUGAGCUGCAUGGGCAAACAAAAUUAAAUAGCAACAGUCAAAGCAAGACGUCUUACAUAUUCUAAAAGUUAAGGACCAACAAAAUUUUAUAACCAACACUAUUUUAGAACCUCUAAAUGUUAUUAUAUUAUAUAUGUAAUAUAUGGACGGAUGGGGCAUCUGGAUUAGAAGUGAUCAAAAAUUUAGGAAGAAAAUCAAUUUCAAGUACAGAGUAAUUGUGAUAACUGUAUGACUACCAGAAAGGAAAUAAUUAUUGGUUGAAGACGAACAAGAUAUCAAACCGAUGCAUUGAUUCCUCCUUGUACAUAAAAGCUACAGUAGUCGGCUCACGCCCAUUGGCAGCAUAGUGGGACAAGUGGCCCGACAUUGCCUUCUUACAACAACAUAUAUACAAAACAAACAAACAACCACCAAAGACAAGAAAACAACCAAAAGUUUGCUCAGUUUCGGAAUUACAUCAGUUAUAGAAAAAAUAAAAAUACAAAUCGUCCAAAUAGGGCAGAUUUAAUUCUAAUUUUGGUUAAGCUAGGAAAAAAAAAAAAGCUUACCCAAGCCACAUCGAGCAUUUUGACAUAAUUCCAUCAGUUUAGAUGGAUAACGAAAAUACUGCAAAACAGAAAAGUAGAAACUUAGAAUGCAAAAGAAGUAAUACCUGUGGCUGUCACAGCAGGCAUGAGAGCAGUCACAGGAGGUGCCAAGUCAAAUCCACUGAUUCGCUUGCUGAUUUAGAAUAGAUGAUUAGAAUCAGUCCACAAUACAAACUGAUUUCAACGAAAUGAUAGAGAACUUCAGGAUGAAAUCGAUAAGCAAAGAGCAAGCAUGUUAAUAAAACAUUGUGAGAUCACUUCUAUUCUUUUCCUAUUUGUGGUUAGUCCAAGUCUUUUAGGGUAGAGAAAAUUUGUUUGCCAGAGACAAUAGAAUGCUUGUUGAUUCACAUUGAUCACUGUCCUUAACUUCUAAGAAACCACUCAUAUACAAAAGCGCCAUUCAGCAUUGCCGUCAAUACAGCAAGUUCUCUGCCAACUUACUCAACUACUUCCACAAACAUUCAAGUGUAACAUAACAAGUUUAGUAACAAAGAGUAUAUGAAGUCGACUACCAAUUAUUUUAAAAAAGGAACAAAAAAAUUGUGUGAAAAUAAAUAUACUUAGGGAAGCGAGGCUUUGAUUUCCAGAAACUUACGAGCCUCAAACUUUUUCCUAAACAAUACCAAUCAGUGAGUAUCUGCUACUAAGGAACCUCAUUCAUUUAUAGAGCAAUCCACAAUGCCUCUUAUUUAAUAACCCCUCAUUUCAAGUAUCUGAACAGUCACAUAUAAGAAUUAACAAAACAACUCUAAUGCCAACCAAAACCACCUAAUCAUACCAAUGGUUGACAAGCUAAUAGAUUUUUUUUUCCUUUUUGAGUAUAAGAAUGGUUCCACUAUUACUUAAUACAGUAGUAGUUCGAGUUAAGUGUUUACACAAUCUUCUUCUGUUUGAAGAAAUGUUUCAUCGAAAUAAUGAGUCACCCCUUUCAUUGAUAUGCACACAUAUGAGAUCAACAAAUGCUCGGGGGUUCCUCUAUUCAAUCCUUUUCCUUCUUUUCGUUGCUAGAUAUCUCGUUCGUAUGAAUCUACACUCCGUUUCCCGAGCCUCUAGUAUGGCUCCACAUAAUACUUAAUACAGUAGCUGAAAAUCUCCACUCUAAUUUACGCAAACCUCUAAUUGAUUUACAGACUAACAAACUGGAAUAACCAAAGUAUAGGAAGAUAGAUCAUGCAAAACCAUUAAAAGAAUGAAAAAAACCUCAAACACCAUAAUAUUAGAAUUAGAAUGAUCUAAACUAGCAUCUGCAGUAGCACAGAUUCACAACAACAAUUUUAGCGUCUCAUGUGCAUCUGCAAUAAUUGUCUGAGUCCAAACCACCCUAAUGUAAAGCAUGAUUCUUCUUUGUGUGAAUUACACAAAAUCAUUCGAAGUCACAUAUCAUGUACAAGCAUAUCAAGUUAAAAAAAUUAAGUAGAAUGUUUCAUAGUUAUAACCUCUUUGAACGAGAGCGCGAGCGAGAUCGGGAUCUUGAUCUACGUUCAGAUUGACCCUUCGACCGAGACUGAGAACUAGAUCGAUGUCUGUGACGCCCUUCUCUGUCUCUAUCAUAGUCUCUGUGUCUGAAUCAUACAGAAACAUAUAAAUCAGAAAAUAGGCGAAGAAGUAUAUUCUCAUAUACUUCAAAACAAACUAAAAAAUUGUCACUUGAUUAAAGAGGAUUGAAUACGAACAAUAAAUAAACUCUCCUAAUAUUUCUUUCUGUUCUUAUUGAUGUUGACUAACAGCACUAACAGCACUCACAAAUGAUCACAGCUAACAUGAAUUGAAAUCAGUCAACUAAAAAGUAUGUGCCUAACACAAACUACUGAACUAUUUAAAUUCUGUAAGAAUAACAUUGUUAUUGAUUGUUAAGUUCCAUUCAAGCAAUUCACCCCAACAUAUGUGACUAGUGACAAGAUGGAACAAAAAUUAUAUAAGAAUCAUCACAGUGAGAUUGUGAAAUCAUCAGCCAUCCAUGUGGCGCUUGAAUCUCAAGAGGAAAUGCAGAUUUAACCUAAAUGUAGGGAUGGUCCCCGUAAAAUUUUUGUUGGAAAAAAAAAAAUGCCCCAAGAAGUCAUUGCAACAGGUCCAUAUUAAUGUAAGUUUUGUCAAGAGUCAUGUCCAUCUUGAAAAUGGAAAUUCAUUCCAAACCAUUGAGCUCUCACUUCUGCUAAGCAAACAGACAUCAGAAUCACACAGCCCGGGAGUGUUAUUAAAUAGAAAAAAGUUUCAAUUGAAGAUUGCGCUCUCAUGAUCCUAAUCCUCAAUAGGAGUAUAAACCAACAGUUUGCACAUCAUACACAAUAAUUUCUAAGACAUUUUCCCACUAUGAAAUAUAAUUUUGCAUUCUGUAUAAUAAGACACUCUGCUUGUAAAGGAAAUUUAGUAUCCUUUUCCAAAUUAUAGGUGCACAAAAAAUCCAUAUUAUGUCAUUAAGCCAUAUGAGGGGUUUUUAGUAAUAUUCAUGAACUGAGUAUUAAUCGGUUAGCACAUCCAUCGACAGAAAAGUCCAACAGCAUCAGUAAACUUAUAUACAAGCACCAAACAAGAACAUACAAGCCUAUAUAUCUACAAAACAAAAUUUAAUUUGACGGAUUAUGUAGAACGAACAUGGUAAAACAUAACAAUACAGUACAUAUGCAAACCCAAAGCAAAAAACACACAAAAUAAAAACAACAAUACACGUAUACAUACGUAGAGGAGCAUGUGAGUGUCGAUACAUACACAUCAUAGUCACAUGCAUGGCAUCAGUAACAUGACAGUAAAGCCUGUUGUUUGACUUCAUGUAUUGUUCAUGAAUUCAUUCAUAAAAACACCCUAAGAUCAUGAAAGAUAGAUUUUAACACUGAACUGGGAACACUACAGGUCAUAAUUCAUGUUUAAAUAUAUCAAAAACAAUGAUAAUACUGAAAGGAACCGACCAAAAUCGCACUUAACUUUCUAUGGUAAUAUAGCGAUUACAAUACGAAAUCGAAUUUGUACUAACAAGGUCAAUUACAUAAAGCUAAAAGCAAAAUACACUUGUAAUACCUAUCACGAUCACGGCUUCGGUGACUAUCAUGAUCAUCUGAUCUCUCCCGGCGUCUUUCACUUCUUUCCCGGUCAUCUCUGUGAUGGCGAUCUCGAUCACGCUCACGAUUGCGAUCGCGUUCCCGAUCCGUAUCCUUGUCUCUUUCCCGAUCACGAUCCCUGACCCUGUCACGAUCUUUAGCCUUCUCUCUAUCCCUGUCCCUGUCCCUGUCCCUAUCCUUCUCCUUUUCCCUUUCCCUAUCUUUCUCUCUGCUUUUCGAGGAACCUCUUUCAUGGACAUGCAAAUCAGACUGUAAAAACAUGUCAAGUUAGCGCAAUUUCACCAAAUCAGUGUGCAGAAGAAAAAAAACAAUCUAAACAAACACAACAAGCUUUUCAAUAUUAAACAACAUGACCUUCAACUACGUAGCAAUAGCUGUAGAUAAAUAUGCACAAAACAUGAUAUACAAAAUCACAAUUUUAAUAAUUAGCUUUUGCAUCAAAAAUUAGCUAGAGCAUAAAUAAAAACAUAGUUCCAGUUUCAUCACGCGUCACGUAACGACCCGACCCACCAGCAAUAAUAUCUCGUUGGGCCCAAACCACCGGCCCAAAAAUAUUUAAACCUAGUUAUUUUUAAACCCAAUUAUUACUACUAGUGUAGCCGUCACUUAUAAACCCAUCAGACUCUCCCACAUUAUCCAUGUGGAACUAUUGGGAUGUGAUAUACUCCUCUCGUUUAGGCCCCGACGUCCUCGUCAGCCCGGCCCAAUCAUAUACAUAGUCCCAGAUUAACCAACCGGAAGUGUGAAAUACUAUAUCCCGAUAUCUCACACUUCGGAUAAUGUGGGAGAGUCUGAUAAGUUUAUAAGUGACGGAUACACUAAUAAUAAUAACUGGGCUUAAACAUUUUGGGCCAGUGAUUUGGGCCCAACGAGUUAUUAUUGCUGGCGGGUCAGGUCGUUAUACGAUAGAUUGAAAAAUAUAGAUUUUCCCUGCACAAGACAUAGAAAUGAAAACAAUCUCAACAUCCAAUCAAUGUUUCUUCCAGUUAAAAGAAGUAGAUCCGGUCUCAUAACCAUAAAUUACUACGAUGCAAAUAAAACACACCAAAUAACAGUUUAUAUUGAUCACCUUUCUGCUUUAAACACAGAUAAAGCAUAAAUCAAAGAAGUAAAAUUACCAAAUACAUAGAUUUUACUAUGCUAAUGUACUGUAAAACCAGAUAUCCAAUAAUCAAAUGACAACUCUUCAAGUUAAACAAAAUUGGUCCAGUUUCAUAACCGUAAACUUUCUAGCCGAACAACCAAGCAUUUCGACUAGAUUUACCACUUCCCUAAAUCAAAAGGAAUCAAAUAACGAAAAAGAGGAAACAAUAUAAGAUCAUAAGAUAUAAAGAGGAGAAGGGAUUCAAAUAAGAAUUGGGAUCUGGAAUAGCGAAGGUCAUCAAAGCAGCUUGUUCUAACUAACCUGAACAAGGCAGAAGCAUAAUAAUAGCCCAAAAAUCUAAAAUUCUACCAGAUUUAGCACUUAUCCAAAUCAAAAGGAUACAAACAAAGAAAACACAAAGAAAAGAUCAUAAGAUAUCAAGAGGAGAGUGGAUUGACUUACGCUGUGGGAUCUAAAACCGCUUCUUCUACCUACCCUAACAAUUCAGCAGCCUGAGACUAGCCCAAAAACCCUAAAAUUUGCACCAAAUUUAACAGCUGUCCUUCGAAGCGGAAGGUGUUAAACAAAGAAAUCAGGAAAAAAGAUCAGAUGAUAAAAGAUCAAAAGGAACGGGGAUUCAAAUACGACCUGUGAUCUGGAAUAGCCGAAAUCAUCAUAGCCACUUCUCCUACGUAACCCUAAAACCCGGAACCUAGUACUAACCCAAAACCCUAAUUUCCACCAUAUCCAACAUUUCUCCUCCAAAUCCAGAGGGAUCAAAACAAAGAAAACAGGAAACAAGAUGAGAUCGCAAGAGAUCAAGAGAACGAGGGAUUCAAAUUCGACCUGAGAUCGGGAGUAGCCGAAAUCAUCGAAUCCGCUCGUCUUCGCCGGCGGGGAAGCCCCGCCGCCGCCGUACUCGGCGUAGCCAUCGCCGUUGCCCUCGUACCUCUCCCCGUACUCCGUCAUCUUCACUCUCUCUUUCUCUUUCUCCCUCUCUCCCUCUCCCUCUCCCUCUCUUGAUUGGAUCGAUGGUUUUCGAUUCUAGGGCAUCGAACGAGCAUUUAUAGCGUGGCCCCGAGUAGUCGGGGCACGGUUCGGUUAAAGGCGGUUUUUGGGGUACAAACACCUGAACCGAACCGGAUCCUGCGGCUUUUUGGGAAAAUAUGAACCGGAAACGAACUUGAGACGAUCCAUAAAUUGAAUCGAACCGAACCGGAGCGGUGGAUUGCAUCGCUUCACGUUCUUAUACGUUGUAAGAGGAAAAGCAUUCUAUAAUAAGCUCUAUGAGAGGAGUAGAAAGUGCAUUUGCAAUUUAAUAUUGUGCUUUUUUAUAUGAAUAAUGUAACUGAGAAAAAAAAAAAUUAUGCAUGAUACACCAUAAGUUAGAAACCUAGUUAUUUUAUAUUUUCAGUUAAGUUUAUUUUUUAAAAAAAAAUAUGAAUAAAGUGGAUAGCAUGUAUGCUAAGGGCUGGCAAAUUAGCAAGCCGGCUCAUGUUUUGCUUGGUAUUGAGCUCGCUCAAGCUCGACUCGAAAUUAAAAGAGCUGAGACCGACUGUUCCUAGCGCAAGUGGCAAAAGAGGUUUGGUGAUUGGUAUUCGAGAUCCAUAUUCGAAUUCUAGUUGAUUCACAUUUCUAGCUAAAUUUAUUUCUAAAUGAAAUAAACAACGCAGGUAGCAUGCUACAUUUCUUUCAAAAAUAAAAAUUAAAAUUAAAAGAGCUGAGCUUGAAUAGAAAAAAAAAACUUGAAAUUUAUUUCAAGCCGAGCUUGAAAAUUACUGGACUUAUUCGAAUUGAGCUUGAAUAAUUAUAUAUAUAUAUAUAGAAUUUAUAUAUAUAUAUAUAUAAAUUAUAUAUAUAUAUAUAAAUUAACCCUAGAAUGUGGGCCCCUAGGGUUAAGUGAGUGGUUGGUUGAAUAGUAUAAUCUAACGAGUACAAAUAAUCAGAAGGUUAAAUUUAACGGUGGAAAACUCGAUAGCACCAAAUUCUUGGUACUAUCGAUAGUAUCCCAGCGGAUUUUAACUAUAUAUAUUAUUAUAUAUAUAUAUUAAUAUAUAUAUUUAUAGAGUCCGGCCUGUGGUAUUAUCGAUGGAGUACAAGAAUUAGUCUAUCGAGUUUUCACCGUUAGAUUUACAAUCAAUUAUUUUUCGUACGACUUACUAUUCAACCACCACUCACUUAACCCUAGAGGCCCACACUACAUCCUAACACCCAUCUACUCAAUAUAAGGGCUAAAAAUGCAAUACAAAUAGCUUUGGUGCUAUUGUGAAAAAAACUAUUCCCGUCUAAUUCUAUAUAUAUAUAUAUAUAUAUAUAUAUAUAUCUAUAAACCUAUAUGAAACCUUAAUAUCUUUUGCCACGUGGCAACCUAUGCUUCAUUCUCAUUACCUCUCCUUAAACCAAAUCCUUUAUUCUAUAAAGUAAUUAGCAACUUAAACAAAUAAAAAUCUCUAAAUUAAUGCACAUUUAAUUUGACCGUUUUUCUUUCUAGAAGAGCUUCAUUCUCGUAACCUCUCCUUAAACCAAACCCUUUAUUCUCAUAAUAAUCCAACGUUUUCAUAUAUAUAAAGUAAUUAGUAACUGAAAGUAAUUAGUGCUUUAUGCUCUUCUUUAAACAAAUAAAAAUCUCUAAAUUAAUGCAUAUUUAAUUUGACCGUUUUUCUUUCUAGGAGUAGAGUAUUUAAAUAAAGUUUCCAAUAGAAAUUAAAUGUGAGAAUUAAAUCCCCCAUUUACUCUUUUCUAUAUUAUCUCUUAUUUUGCAUAGAUAACGGUUACAAAAAUUUUUAAUUAUAAGUGCACUAUAAAUAUCCACUAGAGUAGAAUAAAAAAUUUGUCAAAUUUUUGGUCAAUAAUACUUUUUUUUUUCUUGCUUUCCCAACAUAGUAGAUUACCUUAUUCAUUUGAUAGAGAAUAAGAUAAUCAAUUAAAGACUUAAGUGUAAGUUAACCAAUUUUUUUUUCUUUAUUUUUUUUCUUUUUUUUCCUUCAGGAAGCAAAGAUCAUAUUAAUUUUUAAUAUACUAUACCACAAAGAUUUGAUAUGUUCAUCUAUAGAUAAUUUAUUAUCACCUAUAUAUGAUAUAGCCUAUACUUUAUAUAGGCGAAAAAUAAUCUCCGGUAUUAUAUUUGAUACAUUUAAAUUUCACAUACCUUCUGCAAUUCUUUUAGUUUGAUUUUGUCAUCAUUUUUCUAUUAAUUUGCAUAUUUUUAGAUUUUUUUGUGUGUUUUUAUAUUUACUAUGUUUUUAAAUAUUAUUUUGUUACUAUUUUUUAAAGCUAGUUUUAUUUUUUGUAAGAAAAAUGAAAUAAAAAUAACACAACUAUCAAAUCGAUUUUUUUUGUGUGUUUUUAUAUUUAUUGAGAUUUUAAUUUUUUGAUUUAUUUAAAAUAUCAAGAUGUUAAAAUUGUUAAGCUUUUUCAAAAUCGAUUUGAUAGUUGUGUUAUUUUUAUUUCAUUUUUCUUACAAAAAAUAAAACUAGCUUUAAAAAAUAGUAACAAAAUAAUAUUUAUCACCGUAGUAAAUAUAAAUUUUUAUUUGUUAAUAUAUAAUAAAAAUUAUUUGUGAAAUUUCUUGCAUCGUACUGAUUUACUUACUAUCUAAUAUUAUGUUUUUUUUUUAAAUUUGGAAAAAAAUAUAUACUGACUCUAUAUUAAAGGAGAGUUCCAUCAUAUCUCCGUGUCCUCUCCAUUCUCCUAUAUUCACUUCAAGAAAAAUUGAAAACAUCUUGUCUACAAUAAUAUAACAUGCACCAAAUUUUUUUCUUAAUUUGAAAUUAAAAUAUAAUUUAGCAUAUAUAAUCUACAUGAUAUAAAGAGAUAAUCAGUUUAUGUACCAAAUAUUAUAGAGUUUAAAUUUAAAAAAUAGUGAUAUAUCAAUAUGGUGUUUAAGAAAUAAUAUACACCCGGAGCAUGGAAUGAUUCUCCUCCCAACCCAUUCCUCAUGUAUAAAUAAGUUGCCUACACCCUGUCUAUAAAUAUUACAUAUACCAACCCUAAUUUUGAAUAAUUAAUACUAUAAAAUUAAAAUAUAAUUUCAAUGCGAUCUAUACUCUAUUGGAAGCCUCCAUAUAAAAAAUUAGUUAUUACAGUUUAAAUUUUUAUAUCAGCUUUUUUAAAAUAAAGUACAUAAAAUUUACUUAUACACCCGGUGUAACAAAUAGUAUCAUUUCCUUUAAUAUAGGUAAAAAAAUAUAGAUACCCUAUUUAAUUAUAAUUUCUAAUUUUUUAAUUUUAAUUUUUAUACUUAGUUAAAUUAAAAUGAUCAAAGAUAAUUAUUAAAAUUAUUAAAUCCGGUGAACCUAUUAAUAAAUUUAAUUAAUUUAUAAAAUUUUUGAUAAAAUUAUUUUAGUCAAAAUAUUAAAAGUUUAGAAAGUCUUAUACAACUAUUAAACACUUUGAAAUAGACAACUUAAAAUUAUUUUUUAAUUAUGAUUAAUUAUAUUAAUUAAACAAAAUAUUUAUUAAAAUUUGUAUAAAUUAACAUUUUUAAAGUUACUGAAAUACUACAAAUUAUUUAUUAAAAUUUAUAUAAAUUAAAAUAUUUAAAUUUGCUAAAAUAUUAUCUACCCGCCGCGAAGCGCGGGCCUGGCCUACACUAGUAUAUAUAUUAAUUAGUGUAGAGAUAUUAUACUAUCAAAUGUAUAAGAAAAUUGGUACUUUUAAUUUUUUGGUCUUUGUAGGAAUUACAACAUUCUAACGAGGAUUGUAAUUCCUCUCUUUGAAAUUUAAUUUUUUUAAAAAAAGAAUAGUAUUAAAAAAGUAAAAAAUUGAGAAGAGUAGUGAAGUUGGGGAUUGGACGAUGAGAUUGUAAAAUUAUCAUCCCCAUUUGGAUUGUAGGGCUUGUGUUGUUGCAAAAAAAAAAAAUAUUGUAGGAUGAUCCCCUCAACGAUUUGCCGUUUUGAACUGCCUCUUCAAUUUUAACCUUUUGGUAUUAGACUUCUUUAAUGUUUAAUUUUUUAAAAAUAAUUUUAAUGUAAUAGAUUAAAAAUAUAAUAAAAUUUUUUUCUAGAUUUAAUAAUAAUCUUAAUUAUUUAUUAAGAACUAAAGCUAAGAUAAUUGAUAGCUAAUAUUCUAGAAUUUAACAAAAUUUUUUAUUACAGUCAAAUCAAAGUAUCGGAUUCCUACGGAGAUAAUUGAAAGUUCCAAUUGAAAAUAAUUCUUUUGACCAGAGAAUUUAGAACUUGGGGGUUUAUUUUCGAUCCAUCGAAACUUAUUUUAUAGAUCCGAGGAAAUUAAUCUAAUACCUACCUAAAAUUUAUCGAAUAUUUAUUUUAGUAUUCUUUAAUUUAAAUUUUUACAGGGUACGACAGUAAUACACUUUAAAUCAUAGAAUACUAAAGUAAAAAAGUACAAAAUCACAGAGAUAGUAUUUGUUAUUUUUGUUUGCUCCAGCUUUUCGUCACCUAAUAACAUUAGAGGUAAAUUGCUUAUAUACCGCUAAAAGUUUCGGACUUUCUUGUUUAUUCCGUUUAAAAGGUUAAAAAAAAAAUUCUUUUAACGUUUCAAGUUCUUUCAAAUAUAUUUUUAGAGUUAAAUUCUGUUAGUGCACUAUUUUGCCCUUUCAAAUAUAUCCUUCUAGAUACUAAUUUUUCUUAUUUACCCUUAAGUUAGGGGCAAAAGAAGUUUUGUCUUUUUGCACUUUCAGAUAUACUCUUCUACCGCUACGAACUUUUUUUUAUUUACCCUUAAAUUAGGGGGAAGUAAAAUAUUUUGACUUAUUUUUAACUCUAGUAGAAAUUUAAUCCGAAUUUAAUCCGAGUAACUUAACAGGUACUAACAGCAGAGUAAUUUUUGAAUAAUGGAGAAAUAUACGAGAAAAAUAUUUGAAAUAAAAAAAUAAAAAUAUAUAAAAUAUUUCAGAAGUGUUGAAGGGUAUAUAUAUAGAUAAUUAUCCCUAAAUAUUAAACACCCCUCAAUGCCAAACCAGCUCUAAAGCAUUCCUCCACAAUACCAAAAAAUAUACUCUUUACAGAGAUCCACUGUUUUACACUUCAGCCCAAGUCCUUCAGGUUAAAGCAAAGUUAAAGCAAAUUGGACCUGACACCAAGUUGGGCCAUAAACCUAAAGUGUGGUGUAAAAUUGGAUGUGAACCCACCACUAUUAAAGAACACAACAAAAGGGGUGAUAAAAACAAAAAGGAUGACACAAACAUAGAGGACUUUGUAGUUCCCCUCUCUGGUCCCAGCUAUUGGACCAUUUGAUAGGUAAUUUUCCUUUCCAAUUGCAUUCACAUUGGCUCUAAGGUUGGAACUUAGACUUUGUCUAUGAGGUCCCAAGGAUGAGAUUACUAUCUUUAAAAUACUAUAAUUUUUUUGAGAUCAUAAUUGAAUGUCGGAAUUAGUUAUGCAGUAAUGAUUUUAAAUAUAUUUUUUUUGUUUAGUAGUCAUACACUUAUACCCGCGAACCUCUCUUCUUUCUUAGAUUUCAUAAUUUUAAACGCGCAUGUGAGGGAUCGAACCUCCCGAUCUAUCUCUUAAUAGGCAAUACGAAGUACCAGCCAACUAGGCUAAAAAUGGUAGUUACUUUAUUUUCAUUCAACUUAAAGAGUCCUUUUGUAGAACACUUUAAUCCGUGUGAGGUUGGACCUAUAUAAGUCACGCACAUCUUCUCUCCACAGCAUAGUGAAUCAAACUGGCCCUACGAGAUCGUUUAUUUUUACUGAUUUAGAGCAAUUUAGAUUGUAUAUUUCACGCUUGUAGUGUGAAUUUGGUAUAAAUUUAAUACAAACUUAUCUACCAUUUCAGUUGAAAGCGUGCUAAAAAAAUUUAUAUAUAUAUGACAAAACUCAUGGUACUGUAACAGACCCUACUAGUUGGGAGUUUAGGAUAAUUCGUCCACUUCAACAACCUCUCUUACAACUUAAAAGUUGUUUGGCAACGAUUUGAAUAAUCUUAAACAGAAAAUACGAAGAAUUUUUCAAAAUAUUAGAAAUUAUUAAACCGACAGCACUUAUAUAAAUAUUGAAUACAAAAAUCGUAUCAUCACUUUUUAAGAGAUAUUUAUUUUCAGGCGUUUAAUUUUAUGUUCAUUUGAUGCACAAAAAAAUAACAUUGAAAACGUAUAAAAUUUAGUUUUUACAUAACUUAGAUGAUCGAGAUCACAUUCAACGGUACCAAUCGUCAGUUUACAAAUUCUGUCAUUUGAAAAUAAAUCGACAGUAAACAUAAUCGCUUAAACUCUUUUAGUAUUUUGUGGUCUCCGUCUGUUAUUUCUUUUGUUCAUGAAAUUGCUACCAGCCAAACCAUCUUGUUGACUCAGAAAGACUGCAUGGCCUUUAAUUGUCUGGCUGAGAGCUGGCCUAUCUAAAUGUGUGCUUCUUCAGCGUGCGGAUGCUGGAAGCCACGUACGCCAUCUUGAUUUCAAAGUCAUGGUUGCGUCUCAUUCCAGAUUUCUGGACUCUACGGAUCACAGUUUCUUUCAAGUAAACCCAGAUCGCUCUCCGAAUUUGUGCGUUGGUGAUCUAAACAAAUUUAAGACAGUUCCACACCAGAGUUACUCGCAUCCGUCCCGACGAAAAUUCAUUGAGUUUCUUACAAUAACUUUUUUUUUAGAAAUAGACAGCACGCUAACCACUUCGUUUAUUUCAUUUAAAAAUAAACUUAGCUGAAAAUGUGAAUCAAUUAGGAAUCAAACUUGGGUCUCGGAUACCAACCAUCAAACCCUUUGCCACUUGCUCUAGGAACGGUCGGUGAGUUCCUUUCAAUAAUUAAAAAUGCAGUACGGUUGAAGACGCAAUAGUUGAAACUAUAUAUGUAUAUCUAGUUGGAUUUAAUGCAGACUGUAAAUAAUUUAUUUGGUUGCAUGUAGUUAAAAAAAGCAUUCAUAAAAUAAUUUUAUUAUUUUAUGUAUUCGGGGAUGAGAUUACAUUCUAUGUAGAAAAUAAAAUAUUUUUUUGCUUAAAAAGUGAUUAAGGAGGUAAGAUUAUAUUUUGUUUAAAAUUAUUUUUUUAACUGUUGCAGUUAAAACUGUAGUCAAUUUGAAUGUAGUUUUAACCGCUACAGUACCUACCUCAAACAGUUCUAGCUACAGCAGUUAAAUUCAAACAUAUCAAGUCAAACACCGAAUUGAAUUUGAAUGUACUAACAACUGUAGUACAGUUGUAAGUAUAU